rnacentral:lncRNA from 1 species
GACAGUUUGAAAACUAACAACUGUGGAAUCUUUAGUGUAGUGAAAUUCACAAACCACGUGAUUUUAUAUUCCAUUUCUAAAGAUAUUUACAUUUCUUAUCAAAAUAUUCUAUUUUCCUGUUGAAGAUUUGUUAUCUUGUAGAGUAUGAGUGAUGAGGCUGGGGUAAUCCUAGACAGUCGUCAUCACUUUCGGCCGAGCGCUCGGCACAACACGGAAAAUGCAUUGGAAGACAAUACUAUAACAUUAAGGAUGUAGUCGUGUGACUGAAAACUUUUCUAUUCUAUCAGCGGACCAAUUGUUUUAUAUAUUAUGUAUCGUAGCCGAUUAAAUUAUCCAAGGGAUACUUUAAGGAAAACUGU